AACGGUGAAGUAUACAGCCUACACAUGCUACAGUUAAUGUUCUGAUCCCCUUUCCCCUCACAUAUAUACUUACAUAAGUUUAUGUGUUAUAAGGAAACAAACAAAAAUAACCAUCAGAAAAUUUGUUUGCCAAGAGAAGUACUGAAAUAGCCAAGAUUCUUCAGCUUUAUUCUACGAAACACACAAAGUGUUUGGAUUUAGUCCAUGCAGGACUCUCAUUCCCUAAGGGUUCAGAGAAAUGAGUUUGGAUAUACUAAUGUUCCUGAUCUAAGUUAUAGGAGGGGGGCUGUUUUUAUUGCUGGUAAUUAACAUAAUAAAUUGUGCACCCUUGUUUUUCCUCCAAGAAAGUAAUAACUAUUGCUCUUUUAUGUCAUUAAGGAAAGACCCUUGAAAAACCUUCCUUGGGCUGAGAUUCCAUAUAGCCUCUUGUCCCUAUGGAGUUAAGAAUGCUUGAUUUGGAUUGAGGGAUCAGAAACGGGAUGGAAUCUGGAAUGUUUUAACAAGACACAGAUCACAUUAGGGGUCUUAGAGCAAAGUCAGUCAGCAAAGAACUACUUAAGAUUCACUUCUCCAACAGAAAAAUUGAAAUCUGAUGUAAUUAGUUAAAUCUGAAAAAUACUGAUGGCACAAAUUAGCAGUUGAUGGCUGCUGGUGGAGCCAUGGCUCAUGGAUCAUAGUCUGGGCACAAAUUCAACACAACUGUCUUGGGGUAGCAGGUAUUGCUGGGAUAGUGUUCCCAGACACUGGUACUUCUGAUACUGAUGACCAAAAGUGAAGGAUUGAGGGAUGGUAUGGGGGGGAGGAUCUAAGAACAGCUCUACCAAGUAUGGAGUAGCUCUCAAUGACAUCAACACUGUACCAAUGAUGCCAAAGUGACCAUUGCAAUUUCUAUGACUUAUUCUUUUCCAACCAAAUCAGACUUUGGGAUUUGGUAAUAGGCAAUCUUUGGUCUCUGGUAUUAUUGACUGAUUGCAGCAUAUAUAAAUCUAGAAGAGGUGGGCUUGGGAAACUAGAUCUAAGAAAUCUAGGGGAAAGGCUGCAGGUUACAAGAUUUGUUUGGUACCCAACUUAACAAUCAAAAGAACAAAGAAAGACCCUACUAUGAUUCAGUGGGGCUCAAUAUCAAUUAGUCCACAGCAGCAGCAGGUAAGGGAAAAAAGACAAAGCAAAAUUAGACUGAAGGAAUAGCAGCCACAACAUGAAUUGCAUAUUUAUCAUGUGGUCCUGACCACAUCUAAUGUAAGCUCCCAGAAGGCAGAAACCAUAUCUUCUACUUCUGUAGUGACCAGGAGGACAAAACACUCACUGGCUACCAUGGAGUGGCAGAUUGGCUAAGAACCAUGACUGCCACUAUCAUGCCUAUGUGAUUUGUGGCAUGAUCUUUUCAAAAUAAACUUUAUGGCAAAAGGUUUUCCAACUUUCAUUGGUUUUCUGGUGGAGAGUUCUUGAAACAUCUUUUAAGUUUUAUUUGUAAGAGAAUCAUAAAUAGACUAUUUUUGCCCUAUACACUCAGGAAUAUUUUAAAUCUAAGAGUUCCACUUUGAAAAUUACAAAUGAGGCAAAUGGGAAGAGUCCCUACUGCAACAUCCAGUUUAGUAUUUCUUACAGAUCUGUCUAAUGCGGAGCUCUUUUGAUAUUUUCCAGUGCCCUAAAAACACUAAAAGAAAUAGCUUAUGCAAGGAGAAGGUACAAUUCUCUUUAAAGGAGGUGGUGAUAGGGUCAUAGAAUCAUAGAUUUGGAGCUGGAAGAACCUUGAGGAACAUCUAUUCCAAUGUUAUCUUUUUUACAAAGAAGGAAACUGAGGCCAAAAGAAGUUAAACGAGCUGUUCAAUGCCACUUGGGUAGUAAGUGACAAAGCAGUAAUUUGAAUUCAGAUAUUGGAUUCUAAGUUUAAAAACAUUGCUUGGGAAUACAAUUUACUGUGGAAAAUAUUCUUGUCCAAAAGGUAUUAUUAGGAUUUGAGGCUAUAAGAGAAAUUGGUUGUUCUGUGAUAGAGAUUUACCCCAAGAGGUAUUAGCACAGGUGGUUUGAAAUUAAGGAUUUGAUAUAGUAUGGUAAACAGCAAUACAAAAAUCCAAUCAUAUUUCUUUGCCUCUUGGGUUGGCCUUUAGCUUGGAAUUUUGGUUCAGAGCAGGCUAUCAGAUUAUGCAAGCAGCUAACCUGUCUUUGACCUUAUUGGGGAUGGCAUAGAGAAUAUUUAAUGUCUAUAAGAUGAAAGUUCAAAAAAAUAUAAAAAAUAUUGCUGAUAGCCCUUCAAAAAGUACUUUCACAAUAAAAUUAAGACUGAAAUUUGAGUCAACUGCUGACCAAUUUCUGCAGUGUUAGUCACAAAGAUGCUUGCCAACAGAAUGAAUGUCUUUGAUCUGAAGACUGGCUUUGCUGUGUUCCAAGAAACUCAUUACUCAGAACACUGGAGCAUGGUGGAUUUUUCAGCUAUGGCAACUCAUGAAGAACAUCUUCCAGUCAGAGAAGUGACAGAAUCAGUGUUAAUAGAGGGGUACCCAUACCACCUUAAGUCACAGAUCUUUGAAAUUAUUGCAAUAUCCCCAAUGGAUUAUGUAAACACAUCACCAAACAAGAGUGGGAAAUAUCUGUUACGGCAUCAGACCACAGAACAACUCUUAUUUUCACCUGGUUAGGAUAGUAUCCAACAGUGAAACAAACUGAAAGGCUGCUGCAGAAAGUAAGGAAAUGUGGUUUCUGAUAUAGCUGACACCAGCGAGAGGGAUCACCAAACAGUGCAACAACUUCAAUUUGCAAUGAGAUCCCUAGAACACAGAUGAAAAGGAAGGCGGUCCAGUUGUCCUUGAACAGACACCAGCUGCAGAAUGACUGUGACAGGAAGUCAAAUCACUUUAGAUUGGUGGAAACCUCAAAAAUGCUUAAGGCCAAGAAUUUCAGUCUUAUGCACAAAUGCAUCUGCCAUGGUGCUUAGUAUUUAAUAAGAACACAGUAAAUAUUAGGUGAAUGGAUGAAUGAAACUAGGAAGCAAGCCUGAAACAAAAUAUGUGCUUUUUUCUUUCCCAAAUGAAGCCAAAUUCAGGAAAGCAUCAUGUAAAGCAAAAGGAACAUAUUGGCUCAACACUAAAAAACUUAAGGUUUUUCUCUAAGAAGCAGGGUCCCAGAAAUGACAGAGGGGAUCUGGGUGCUCAGGCUUGCUAAGAUUAUUCCACUCAUCAACCUUGCUAAUUAUCUACAAAAGUGUUUUCUGAGGAUACUGUUAGAGGGGGCCAAUCAGAAAUAGGAGAAAUACUCGUCUAUUAAUCCCAGGGCACUAGGUGGUAGGUUCCCAGGGCUACUCAUCCUUUAGAGGAAGGGAUGAAUAACAGACAUAAGAUAAACAUGCAUUAGUCUUUUUCCUCUCCAAGGGCCUUUAAAGGCCACUUCUUCAACAAAGCAAUAUAUCCACAGGUAUUAAGGAUGAGAGAAGGACAUUUGUACCAAUAAACCUUCUAAUCUAGAAUGUGUAUGAGGAGCUAUUUUUCCAAGACAAUGGGACAUUAACACAGUGAAAGGGGUAGUCUAGAGCUGGCUUCUUCCUUGAAACAAGCCUAAGGAAGGAAAGUGCAUUCUUGCUUCUUGUAAUGUAACACCUGUAGGCACUUGCCCCUUUUGUUCUUCCACAGGAGAUCAUGGGAUCAUAACCUUAGAGUUGGAAGGUACCUUAAAGAUCAUCUAGUCCAACCUUCAUUUUUACAGUUGAGGAAACUGAGGCAUACAAACCAGGUUGCCUGAUUCCAAACUUAUGAGUUUCCCCACAAAAUUAUACUGCUUAGUCCUGGUUUCUUUUAGCUGAGACAAUCCGGCUUCUAACUACCAAUUAGGGUGCUUCAGUUUUCAUCUUGGUUAGUUCACAAAUUGGCUGGGUGAUAUCAACCAAGUGUGACUCUGUGAUUCAUCUGCCUAGUGGGGAAAUAAGCAUUGCCCAAUUUAAGUCACAAGGUUGUGAGGACCAAGUGAGAUGCAAAAACACUUGGGAAAAUUCAGAUACUUAACAGAUGUGGAGAAAAGCAGAGAAUUAGUGAGAGGCAGUCUUACUGGUGUUUAGCUCUUGUCACUAUCCAACGGACUGAAUAAAUGGCAACUUUCACCUGCCU
rnacentral:lncRNA from 1 species